rnacentral:rRNA from 1 species
UCUUCGCCUGUUUAUCAAAAACAUGUCUGUGUGAAUUAGUUAUAAAGUCUAGCCUGCCCACUGAUUAAUUUAAAGGGCCGCGGUAUUGUGACCGUGCGAAGUGUAGCAUAGUCAGUAGUCUUUUAAUUGAAGGCUUGAAUGAAAGGUUGGACGAGGGAUAAGCUGUCUCUUUUAUGAGGUUUGAAUUUAACUUUUGAGUGAAAAGGCUCAGAUUGUUUAGUGGGACGAUAAGACCCUAUAAAACUUUAUAUAAAAGUGGUUUGGUUUAUAAUUUAAGUAAAAAGUAAUUUUGCUAGGUUUAUAUUUCGUUGGGGAGAUGUAGAUAUAAUGUGUAACUGUCUGUUUAAUUUGAUAAUUGUAGUUAGUGUAUGAUCCUUCUUUGUGGAUUAAAAGUAUAAGUUACUUUAGGGAUAACAGCGUGAUUUUCUUUGAGAGUUCUUAUCGACAAGAGUAGUUGCGACCUCGAUGUUGAAUUAAAGUUCCAGUUAGGUGUAGCCGUCUAUCAGGUGGGUCUGUUCGACCUUUAAAACUUUACGUGAUCUGAGUUCAGACCGGA